rnacentral:rRNA from 1 species
GAUAAACGCUGGCGGCGCACAUAAGACAUGCAAGUCGAACGAACUUAACUCAUUCUUUUAGUUUGAGAGCGGUUAGUGGCGGACUGGUGAGUAACACGUAAGCAAUCUGCCUAUCAGAGGGGAAUAACAGUGAGAAAUCAUUGCUAAUACCGCAUAUGCUAACAGUAUCGCAUGAUAUAGUUAGGAAAGGAGCAAUCCGCUGAUAGAUGAGCUUGCGCCUGAUUAGCUAGUUGGUGGGGUAACGGCCUACCAAGGCGACGAUCAGUAGCCGGACUGAGAGGUUGAACGGCCACAUUGGGACUGAGAUACGGCCCAGACUCCUACGGGAGGCAGCAGUCGGGAAUAUUGCGCAAUGGAGGAAACUCUGACGCAGUGACGCCGCGUAUAGGAAGAAGGUUUUCGGAUUGUAAACUAUUGUCGUUAGGGAAGAGAAAGGACAGUACCUAAGGAGGAAGCUCCGGCUAACUACGUGCCAGCAGCCG